UGGGGAAUAUUGGACAAUGGGCGAAAGCCUGAUCCAGCCAUGCCGCGUGUGUGAAGAAGGUCUUCGGAUUGUAAAGCACUUUAAGUUGGGAGGAAGGGCAGUAAGCGAAUACCUUGCUGUUUUGACGUUACCGACAGAAUAAGCACCGGCUAACUCUGUGCCAGCAGCCGCGGUAAUACAGAGGGUGCAAGCGUUAAUCGGAAUUACUGGGCGUAAAGCGCGCGUAGGUGGUUCGUUAAGUUGAAUGUGAAAGCCCCGGGCUCAACCUGGGAACUGCAUCCAAAACUGGCGAGCUAGAGUAGGGCAGAGGGUGGUGGAAGUUCCUGUGUAGCGGUGAAAUGCGUAGAUAUAGGAAGGAACACCAGUGGCGAAGGCGACCACCUGGGCUCAUACUGACACUGAGGUGCGAAAGAGUGGGGAGCAAACAGG
rnacentral:rRNA from 1 species